CCAUGGAAGGGACAUCUUCUGCAAUUUUUCAAGCCUCCCUCCUCCGUCCCGAAGGUAUUCAGAUAAGGCGGCGGG